GCAAUCUACAAGAAGAAAUUAAAGAUUCUGUGACUCAUUUAAUUUAACACUGUCAGCCAAAGUAACUUGCAAAGAAUAAUUAACAAUGAAUUUUAUAGAGGUCACAUAAUAAACAUCUUGAUCUUUAUUUAUUUUUUUUAAAAGAGAUUGUUUCUCUUUUCUAAAAAAGAGUAGGCAGAAAUAUUCUCAGCACUGAAGUCCAUUAUUGGGAAUAAGAGUUAGAAGUCUGUAGUUCAGUAAUAAAAGCAUACCUACUGUCUACAUGACAAAGAAACCAGCUGGUCUCUACAUAUGGACAAUACCUGCUAAUGGCUGGAUAUUUUAAAGUCCUGUCAAUUUCACCCCCUUCCAACAUCUGUUCUUUUUUUUUUUUUUCUAAUACCUCAGUCUUGCUGCUCUCCACAAGCUAUUUUUUUAUUCUCUUUCUCUCAUCUUCCCAAUUAUUUCCCAUAUCCUGGAAUUCCUAGUUAAUGGGCAUUUUACUACAUAGUGAAUGAGGAAGGGAGCUAUGAAUCAUCACUUCAUUAAACAUGCAUCUUGGGAAAGAAGAUGUUCACUACACAGCUAUAUAAGCCAGGUACAUGCCCUAAGUGUGCCCAUGGGUCAUUGUUAAAAAUACUGCACAUUUCUUUUCCCCAGGCUCUGAAAAAGAGGACUACCAGCAACACCAUGUCAGGGUUCGGAGCCCAGGUGGGUGCCUCCCUUUCCAAAGAUAUGUAUACAGAGACAGGACAUGACAAAAGCUGAGUGGGACAAUCAGCAGAAGAACUGUCUUUAUUCCCUAAUCUACCACACAGCGAUAAGAAAAACCAAGUGUAAUUGAUACAAGGUCUCCAAUCUUCUAAACUCACUAGGACCUUUAGAGGAAUCCCAGGUGCAUUGAAAUGCCUCUGAAGUAUACCUUGGGCAUCCCCCAAAAGUCCUAUUGAGGCGUUCAGAUGAUAGGAAGCCUUAGGCAAUGCUCUUCUGUUGAACAGGCCAGAAUCAGACAGGUGUGAGCACAGAAUGGGGAAGGCACAGCAGGCUCCAAGCUCAUUUAGUGGUAUUGCUCUCAGAUCCAACCCCUACCCCUGUAUGAAAAAUCCUGUUAACAGCUGCAGUAACAGAAAAGCUCAGGUUUUUUUUAAAUGUAUUUUAAAAAGUCAGGAUUUUAAAGAUGUUCUAUAAAUUUGAUUAAGUAAUUUUUUUUAAAUUGUCCUUUUAACUAUUGAAGCUAGAUUGUCAAUUUAAAAAAAAAAAAAAACAAGCACUACUACUCAAGAAAGCAGCCUAGAUAUGAAACACUGUAUCCAAAUUCUGUUUGGAAAGCUUAGACUUAUUUUGUCUAUAGUUUUUGCCUAUAUUAGUUUAUUUAAAUAAAUAUUAGUUUGACCUCAGUUCUCCAGCUCUUUUCACAUGCAAUGGUAAUUACACAAGCAGAAUAACUACAACAUUUGGGUCUCUUUUCUGUGCUUAUUUUUCAUUUCUUUUCAAAUCUCUCAGAGAAGAAGAUAUUACUGGUCAUUUAGUGGUUGGAAAAAUGUUAACACAUAAUGAAUUCAUAGCCAAAGCUAGUUGCUCACCCUGGACAAACAUAGCAGAAUGCUCAGCCCCUGUGGAAGAGAGUGCUUGCUCCUAAGUGAUCAUAGCUCAGUGGUUUGAGCAUUGGCCUGCUAAACCCAGGGUUGUGAGUUCAAUCCUGGGGGCGGUCAUUUAGAGAUUUGGG